rnacentral:rRNA from 1 species
UACAGAGGGUGCGAGCGUUGUCCGGAAUCACUGGGCGUAAAGGGCGCGUAGGCGGCUUUCUAAGUCGGGGGUGAAAUCCUGGAGCUCAACUCCAGAACUGCCUUCGAUACUGGAGAGCUUGAGUCCGGGAGAGGUGAGUGGAACUGCGAGUGUAGAGGUGAAAUUCGUAGAUAUUCGCAAGAACACCAGUGGCGAAGGCGGCUCACUGGCCCGAUACUGACGCUGAGGCACGAAAGCGUGGGGAGCAAACAGG